GGAUUCCUCAUUGCUGUAUGUGCAAUUGUCACCGCUACAUUUUCCACAGGGAUUGAUUCGCAAACAUUUCAGAUUCGAAAAGAUGAAGUUCAGUUAGAGGAUGACACACCAUAAAAAUAUGGAUUCUUUCAUGUCGUCUUUUCCUUGGGGGCAAUGUAUUUCGCGAUGUUAUUCAUCAGUUGGAAUUUAGAAACCUCGACAAGAAAAUGGAGCAUCGACGUUGGCAGGGCUAGUACGUGGGUGAAGAUUGUUAAUGAGCGGUUUGCAGCCACCAUAUACCUGUGGAAACUGAUUUCUCCCGUUGUGAGGCAGAACAAGAUCUUGAAGUGUCCAUGGAGGAUGUAAGUCUGCUUCAGCAUGAUUUUGUUAUGCGAUGUACAAUGCAAUUUAGUUCUCUCCAUUACACGUUUGGCUAAGUUUUUAAGCUGCUAAUUUACCUUCUUACCUUGGCAGUAAAUAAACCAAGAAAAAGUGCUUAUAAGCUUAGCCAAACAUUCUAUUCUUUUUCCAUGGAUGAUGAUGAGGUGGUCAAGCUUCCAAUCUGCAGGCCAAUGUAUUAUUGACAAA